ensembl:lncRNA
CACAGUCACAAACAAAAUCCACUGCCAACUCUGGAUUUUAACAAUAUCAAAUAGCAGUUUCUGCCAUGAUGGAAAUGACCAUGGUGGCCACUAAUAACAUGGGCCUAUUGCAUACUUGAAAGGGCACAAAAGCAAUAAACAUUCACUAGAGACCAUACUUUGGAUUUUGAUCUUCCCUGAGCUACAGAUACUCUCAUGAUGCUGGGCGGCAGCAGCAAGCCACAGCUCCCAGUCAACACACAAUCAUGAGGAUGAACAACUGAUACUCUACACUCACUUGGCCACUGCAUUGUCCAGCUGAGGUGACACUGGACACCCAGUAUCUCAGCCAGGCAUCAAGGGAGAGGGCCAAGACAAGCACAGAUGGAUCAAGAGACUCUGGGCUCCUGUCUAAAAAUCAUUUAAAGUGCAUGCAAUCUAAACAUCAAAGCAAUCACUCAAUGACC